ACAUGCUUUUGUUGAUACGUUUUUGUUUGUUAUUAUCGCGGCAUAGGAAAGGCCUGUCAAAUCGCCGGCCGAUAUCAGAAUCCGUUGGGCCUUCUUUGAACGGUGAUUGUUUAAAGUUUCGGGAUUGUAUUUCAUAUAGGUUUCGACUCGAAUUAAGCUGAAAACAUGUAUAAAUUGUACGGAGUUGUUUUUACACUGCAUUUAGUAUUUCUGAUCGCCGUCUUCGACAUAUAUUUUAAGUCGCCUCUUUUAGAGGGACUGCAAAGUGUCGAAAACAACGUCGGCACGGAUGUCGAAAGGCUCGUCUUGUUUGUCGGAGACGGCCUCAGGGCUGAUACGUUUUUCUCUUAUGAGAACAACCGGACCAACGUCCCUUUUUUGAGGGAGAAGAUAGUCAAAGGAAAAGCUGCCUGGGGGAUUUCCUACUUGAGAGUGCCUACAGAAUCCAGACCAGGGCAUGUUGCGCUCAUCGCUGGGAUAUACGAAGACCCAUCGGCCGUCUUUAGGGGAUGGAAGGAAAACCCUUAUCCGUUUGAUUCUGUAUUCAACAGAAGCCGUUUGUCAUUUUCAUGGGGUAGCCCAGAUAUUGUGACUUUGUUUAAAGACGAAAGUCAAGACCACAUCUUCUAUGAGGCCUACACUCCGCAACAACAGGAUUUUUCCGGAAAAAAUAAUGCCUCACACAGCCUCAACAUUUGGGUCUAUGAAAAAGUGCAGUUAUUUUUCCUCAGAGCGAGCAGAAACGAAACCCUUGGACAGCUCAUUAGACAAAAUAAAAUCAUAUUCUUCUUGCAUUUCUUGGGAAUCGACGUGGCUGGUCACUCCGCAAAGCCUCAUUCACAGGAAUAUAUCAGUAAUGUGCGAGGUACAGAUGAUAUUGUUAAAAAAGUGGAAAAAAUUAUUGAAGAUUUCUAUAACGAUAAUAAAACUGCUUAUGUCUUCACAAGCGACCAUGGAAUGACAUCAUGGGGUUCUCAUGGGGAUGGUUCACCUACUGAAACGGAAACACCAUUUGUUGCUUGGGGAGCUGGAGUUCAGCCAUCUACGUGUAAUUUGCACAAGCCAAAAGAUGUAUUCUUUUCCUCCGGCCUUCCUAGGCAUUGUCGACAUGAUAUAAAACAAGCUGAUGCCGCUGUGUUAAUGUCUAUUCUACUCGGCGUGUCAAUUCCUACUAACUCGAUGGGUAAACUGCCAGUCGAUUAUUUGAAAAUGUCCAAUUCAAAAAAAUUCGACGCUUAUACUUUAAACGCAUUGCAAUUAUUAGAACAAUUGAAUAAAAGGCAUGAUAUUCUGAAGAAUUCAGUCGCACCUUGGCUAUUUAAAGAGUACUCGCUUACUAGACACAACCAAGAACAAAUGCUAAGCUUAGCGGGAUUUAAAUCUAAGGCCAAUAAAACUAAAUUGGCUAUGUUAGAUCUAGAAAAGAUCAUACAAUUGGCUCUAGAAGGGAUCAAGUUUUAUGAGACUUACUUUCAAAAUUAUCUACUCUUUUUGGUGACGAUGUCUUAUCUCGGCCUGAUGGCUUGCAUCGUGACUGAAUUAUUGCAGGAUAAUGGUGGAAAUUAUUGUUUCAACAAUGCAUUGGUUGUCAAUCGAUUUUUCAUGGGUGUGUUACUUGUGAUAUUGUUCCUAUUCGCUGUCAAUACUCUUCCGAUGUAUUACCUUCCAUACAACUUGAUACCCUUAUUUUUAUGGUGGUACGCCAUUCUCCAGGCUUCAACGAUCAACAUGUCUUUGUCAAAAAUGCUCAAAUCGUCGAACCUGUACAAUUUGCUAUUGUACAUCGGAGGAACUGAAAUAAUGCUGUUGUCGUUUUACAAUAGAGGUUUUCUAACAUUCGGAAUGGUAGCGCUGUCAUUGUGGCCAUUGUCCAACAAGGACUUUAGAACAAUUCCUCGUGUUUAUUCAUCGGCUUGGACUAUGACUUGCUGGGUGCUAGCGAUAUUUCCAUUAUUACCAACAGUGAAAACUUCAGAAAUACAUAUUGAGUUUAUAGCCAUUACAGGAUUAUUAUGGUUUCUUUUCGGACUGACUAUUUUAUCCGGAAAGAUAAUCAAGGUUUACCAACUUGCCAGGCUUGUAGUGGGCAUUCAAGUGAUUUUCAUAAUUCCUACUGUAUGUAAUAUUUACUCGGUCUUUUCAAGCAUUGAAUCAGGACAUGGGUUACAAAGCUUCAAUCAAUUAUUAUCCAUUUGUCUAGUGUAUGUCUACAUCGGCACGUUAAUAGCAGGACCUGUAACAGUACUCGGAAAAUUCAUUGGAACCUGUUUUUCAUUGGGAAUUACAUUUCUAUUAUUUUGCACUUCUCAUGAGGCCCUAUUUCCAUUAGUGCUGUCACUAAAUCUAAUGGUUUGGAUGGUUUUGGAAUACUACCUAAAUAUGAAAAACUGCACCAGUAAUAAUUAUAAGGAAACUGUGUUGAACAUUGCUGUACUAAUCCGAAGCCACGAUUUCAGAAAAGCUUUCUUUUUUAUAUUUUAUAUAGUUUUUUCAUUCUUUGCCAUUGGUAAUAUAGAUUCACUCAAUUCAUUUGAUGUUAAUUGGGUAAGGUGUUUUUUGACGGUAUUCGCCCCUUUUACAAUGAUGGUGUUAAUUUUGGUCAAAACUAUAAUACCGCUACUACUCGUAUCUUGUGCUUUUAGGUUUGUUGUUGUUAUUACAAGGGCUAACACUAGAAGUAUAUUCCUCGUAAGUCUUCUGUUUUGUGAAAUUAUGUGUCUACACUUCCUGUUCAUGGUGACGAAUGAAGGGAGUUGGUUAGAGAUUGGGAAAUCUCUAUCACACUAUGUCAUAAUGGAAGUCAUGGUUUUGAUCCUUAUAAUACUCUACCAAGUCGCUUGUUACUUUACAGUUCAAGAUAAAGUAUGCAAGAAGCUCAAUAAAAAUAUCAGACUCCAUGUGUUACCAAAAUGGCACGAUGAUUAAAAGGAAAAAAAUCCUUAAUUUUGUUUUCAUUAUUGACAUUGAAGACUGAUUAGUUUUUUUUUUUUUUUGUAAUGUUUUCACUCGUUUUAUACCCACAGUUUUGUUCGUUUCUUUUCUAUAUUUUUAAUUGAAUUAUUUGUUCAAUGGUAAUUUACCAAAGUUGUGAUAAAUUGUUUAAUACCAAAGAAUUUAAAUGUUUCUUCUUGGCUAUUACAAAGCCUUAAAAUUAGUGGAUAAGCAGAAGUCAGGAUUUUUAUAAUGAAUCAAAUCAAUGAUGAAAACAUUCAAUACAUUAUUAA
rnacentral:misc_RNA from 1 species